ACUCUUCCUCCUCCCUCCCGACUGAUUCUCCCUCCCUCCCUCCUCCCUCCCUCCUCACUCCGUCACUCUGCAUCCACGCUGCCUCCGCCGCAUCUCUGGUGUCUCGCAUCUCUCACAUAUUUGCCUCUGCAAAUUAGGGUUCUAAUUGAACCCCCAAAUUGAAUGAAGCACCAGAUUGGUGCUUUGAGAACCCGCAUUU
rnacentral:lncRNA from 1 species